CAGAAAAUCUAUCCAUCUGGUAGCGGCCAAC
rnacentral:piRNA from 1 species